GAUGAACGCUGGCGGUAUGCUUAACACAUGCAAGUCGAACGGUUUCUUCGGACAUAUUUUCGGACGGGUGAGUAACGCGUUAGAAUCUAACGAUUUGUUCGGGACAACCACUUUAAACGGUUGCUAAUACCGGAUAAGCUGAAAUGUGAAAGAUUAAUUGCCAAUUUAAGAGCUCGAGUCUGAUUAGCUUGUUGGUGGGGUAAGAGCCUACCAAGGCGUCGAUCAGUAGCUGGUCUGAGAGGACGAGCAGCCACACUGGGACUGAGACACGGCCCAGAAUACGACGGGAGGAAGGAGUGGGGAAUAUUACGAAAUGGGCGAAAGGCUGAAGGAGAAAUACCGGGUGAGGGAGGAAGGGGGUUGGGAUGUAAAACUAUUGUAUAUGGGAAGAUAAUGACGGUAACAGAGGAAUAAGCAUCGGCUAACUCCGUG
rnacentral:rRNA from 1 species